rnacentral:lncRNA from 1 species
UUUUAGGAUAAAUAUGACCUUGUCAAAAUGAAUUUCAGCACCUUAUAAUACAUGGAACCUUAAGGACAUUCCAAAUGAACCUUAGCAGUAUAAGAAAUAAAGAUUACCAUCACCAGUGACUGGGCUCACCAUCAGGACUGUUAAGUUUCCCCAACACACUCUGUCACUCUCAGUUACACCUGCAGCCCAGCUUUCAUAUG